rnacentral:rRNA from 1 species
GAUGAACGCUAGCGGCAGGCCUAACACAUGCAAGUCGAGGGGUAACUAGAGUGAUAGCAAUAUUACUUAGGCUAGACCGGCGCACGGGUGCGUAACACGUAUGCAACCUACCUUAUACUGGGGAAUAACUUCGAGAAAUCGGCGCUAAUACCCAAUAACAUUGCGAAGAGGCAUCUCUUUGCAAUUAAAGCUCCGGCGGUAUAAGAUGGGCAUGCGUCCAAUUAGCUAGUUGGUGAGGUAACGGCUCACCAAGGCUACGAUUGGUAGGGGUUCUGAGAGGAUGAUCCCCCACACUGGUACUGAGACACGGACCAGACUCCUACGGGAGGCAGCAGUGAGGAAUAUUGCGCAAUGGACGAAAGUCUGACGCAGCCGUGCCGCGUGCAGGAUGACGGCCCUAUGGGUUGUAAGCUGCUUUUGUACGGGAAUAAACCCUUCUACGUGUAGGAGGCUGAAGGUACCGUAAGAAUAAGCACCGGCUAACUCCGUGCCAGCAGCCGCCGCGGUAA